AAAGAGUGCGUAAUAGCUCACUGGUCGAGUGAAUGUGCGCCGAAAAUGUACCGGGGCUAAACCACACACCGAAGUCUUGGGAUUACAGCAAUGUAAUCGGUAGGGGAGCAACGAAUACGGGCUGAAGCGGAAUCGUAAGAGACCGUGGACUGUAUUGGAGAGAGAAUGCCGGCAUGAGUAGCGAGAGCAAAGUGAGAAUCUUUGCCGUCGAAAGCCUAAGGUUUCCUGAGGAAGGUUCGUCCUCUCAGGGUAAGUCGGGGCCUAAGCCGAGGACAAAAGUCGUAGGCGAUGGACAACAGGUUGAUAUUCCUGUACCACGACAAUUCGUUUGACUGACGCAGUGACACAGAAGGAUAGGCAGAGCGGGGCGAUGGUAGACCCCGUCCAAGCGGUGAGGCUGGAGCGUAGUGAAGUACGCGCUUCAAGGCUGGGCCGUGAUGGGCUACGAAAAUAAGUAGGAAAGCUGCUGAAUUCACGCUGGCAAGAAAAGCUGCUAAGGAGAAUUGUUGUGCCCGUACCGCAAACCGACACAGGUGGGCGAGGAGAGAAUCCUAAGACGAACGGGAGAACCCUUGUUAAGGAACUCGGCAAAAUGACCCCGUAACUUCGGGAGAAGGGGUGCCUCGAAAGAGGCCGCAGAGAAUAGGCCCAAGCGACUGUUUAGCAAAAACACAGGUCUGUGCGAAGUAGAGAUACGACGUAUACGGGCUGACGCCUGCCCAGUGCCGGAAGGUUAAGGGGAAGUGUUAGGGCAACCGAAGCACGGAACUUAAGCCCCGGUGAACGGCGGCCGUAACUAUAACGGUCCUAAGGUAGCGAAAUUCCUUGUCGGGUAAGUUCCGACCCGCACGAAUGGCGUAACGACUUGGGCACUGUCUCAACAAGGGACCCGGCGAAAUUGUAGUAUGUGUGAAGAUGCACAUUACCCGCGACUGGACGGAAAGACCCCGUAGAGCUUUACUGUAGCUUGGCAUUGGAUUUUGGUAACAUAUGCACAGAAUAGGUGGGAGGCUUUGAAGCAGCGACUCCGGUCGUUGUGGAGCCACCUUUGGGAUACCACUCUUGUGUUACUGAGGUUCUAACGAGCGGCCGUGAUCCGGCGUUCGGACAGUGCCAGGUGGGCAGUUUGACUGGGGCGGUCGCCUCCCAAAGAGUAACGGAGGCGUUCAAAGGUUUCCUCAGAAUGGUUGGAAACCAUUCGAAGAGUGCAAAGGCAGAAGGGAGCCUGACUGCGAGACCGACAGGUCGAGCAGAUACGAAAGUAGGACUUAGUGAUCCGGCGGUAUGAGAGUGGAAUUGCCGUCGCUCAACGGAUAAAAGCU
rnacentral:rRNA from 1 species